GGCCCAUUACUGUUUGUUAUCCAUAUCAAUGAUUUGGAUGGGAAUGUACAAGGCAUGAUUAACAAGUUUGCAGAUGACACUAAAAUGGGUGGUAUCGUAGAUAGAAGGACACAAAGUGCUGGAGCAACUCGGCAGGUCAGGGGACCAUGAACAGGUGAUGUUUCGGGUCAGGCUGAUCGGUGAUAUUUCAGGUUGAGACCUUUCUCCAGAAUUACUAGGUCAUUACUUGAACUCUAUAAACAGUUAUGGCCAUUCCAAGCUGGAUAAUGUUAGCUUUAAGGAUAGAUUGGAUUGGCUGUGGUCAUUUUCUUUACAGAGGAGGAGAUUGGGGGCAGACUAUUGAGGUAGGUAAUGAGGGAACUAGAUAGAAUAAUCAAAUCAAAUCAAAUAAAUAGCAAGGACUCACAUCCUUUAGCAGAGGUAGCAAUAUCAAGAUGUGUAGGGAGGCACUGCAAAUGCUGGUUUAAACUGAAGAUAGAAACAAAAAGCUGGAGUAACUCAGCGGGGCAGGCAGCAUCUCUGGAGAGAAGGAACGGGUGAUGUUUCAGGUCAAGGCUCUUCUUUAGACAACAACAGAGGGACUAAAGGUAGAUAAGGAAAAAUCCUUCAUCAAGACCAUUGUAAGGAGCUGGAACUCACUGUUUGAAAUAAUUAUAUUUGAAUGUGUGAUUGAAGCUAUAGGGCUGGGGAUCUAUGAUGGAAGGUGGGAUUACAUUUGAUACAUCCUUUUUAAUCAGGACAACAUGAUGGACUAAAUGGCCCAUACUAUGUCAUAAAUGUUUGUGGUUUUCCUGACCCUCUGUCUUCUUCCCCCAAGAUGGAAAGAACAAUGGAUCCACGGGACCUGUAGGUUCCUCUCCAAGAUACACCAGGAAAUAUAUUGCUUUAUCUUCAUCAUUACUGGAUCUAAAUCGUGGAACACAGGUUAAUCUGAUGACAGCUCACCACUACCUUCUCAACAACAAUGGUCUAGGUCCUGGUUUUGAGUGCUGAAGCUGACUGGAGCCAGAGAUGGAGAGGGAAACCGACCCUUAUAUCUCCUUCUGAGUCUGAAGAAGGAUCUCGAUCCAAAACGUCACCCAUUCCUUCUCUCCAGAGAUGCUGCCUGUCCCGCUGAGUUACUCCAGGUUUUUGUUUUAUCUUAUACUGUAUCUCCUUCAUUGUGUUCAGUGGCCUCCUGUGGCAAAAUAGUGACAUGUGAAGCUUUACUCUGCAAAUGGUGUUACAUAAAUACAGGAAUAGAUUACAAAACUGUAUGUCUUUGGAGUGUGGGAGGAAACCGGAGCACUGGAGAAAACCCAUGCAGACUCAGGGGGAAUAUACAAGCACCAUGCAGACAGCCCCCAUCGUCAGGAUCGUACCCGUGUCUCUGGCGCUGUAAGGCAGCAACUCUACCGCUGUGCCACUGUGCUGCCCUCAUUCCACCUUUCUCUCCAAAUUGGAGAUGGUGCAUCUUGCACAAAUUCAAGUUGCUGCGGUUUGGAUGCUACGAUAUCUUUAAUGACUUGACAAAAUUUAAUUCAUGCAACAGUGUUUAAAAAAAUACAACAUGCACACCAUGAAAGGUUUCUAAUUCAUCAUUCAUUCACCCACAUUGAAAUUCAUCCUUAUUCAUUACCACACACUGUGAUAAACUUGAGUCCAUUUCCAGUAUGGAGCUCUGUCAUGCUCUGGCAUGUUUUUGAUGUAAAAUUUUUCACACAGUUGUGUCUCCAAGUGUUUACCAAAUGUGGUCAAAGCAGUUAUGCAGCUGCACUGCAUCAUCCUUGCUUGCUCUUUUACUUUUACUACCCAAUUUUAAGAUGAAGUGGUAACAUAUGUAUAAUGAAAAUCUGCAAAUAAAUGUCGGAAACCUAAACUUAGCAAAUACUUUUCAAUUUUUUUUUCUGAAAUGAUACGAGGUCUGUACUUAAGUAAAGCUUUCAAUAAUUAGUAUGAGAGUACUGUAAUGCUAUCCGUGCAAAUGUUUAUUAUUCUUAUAUCAAAUUACUUUCUCUGCCAUUUGAAUGGUCAUAACUGGAGGAUGUUGCCAGUACUGAAGGGCCUGAGCUAUAGGGAGAGGUUGGACAGGGUAGGAUUUUAUUCCUUGAAGUGCAGGAGACUAAAGGACUAAUCUUAUAGGGGUGUAUAGAAUCAUGAGAGAAAUAGAUAGAGUGAAUGCACAGAGUAUUUUUCCCAGGGUAGGGAAAUCAAGAAGUAGAAGGCAUUGGUUUAAGAUGAGAGGGGAAAUAUAUAAUAGGAACCCGAGGGGCAGCAUAUGGAAUGAGCUGAUAGAGGAAGUAGUUGAGGCAGAGGCAGAUACAAUGACAACAUUUAAAAGGCUUUUGGACAAGUACAUGGACACUGGCCCAACAUGGGUCAAUGGGACGAUCUUAGAUUGGGUAUUUUGGUCGGCAUCUUGGGCCAAAGGGCCUGCUUGCAUGCUGUUUCACGCUUUGACUCUAACCCAAUGGUCUCAGAAACUCAAGGGCCUUUUCUCAUUCCAGGCCAUUCUACCAAACAACCCUUUGCUAUUGCAUAGCAGGUCAGUCUUGAUUCGUGUGAUGAGGUAUCACAACUCACUCUAACAUCUUUAAGAAUGAUAAGACAAUAUAUGGAUAGAAAUCAUUAUAUUGGAAAAGCUGCGGUCUUCUUCCAGUGUCAGAAUCUGAGCAACUUUGGUCUGCACCAUUUUUAAGGCAAAAAAUAUCCUUAAACAAUUCAAAAUGUCUUCAAAAUAAAAAAUUGCUGUAUGGGUAUAUUAGUGUUAAACGUGUGCUUGGUUACACGUUUUUAUAAUAGCACGCCAAUCGAAUUACUACCGAAUUAUUAUCGAACACAAUUACUACUGCAGUUUAAUUUAUGCUCUCCUAUUUUCAGAGUAAUGGACAAAUUUAUGCCUAGCAUCGUAUGGCAGCAUUAGUGCCUGCGGUGCCAGCCGUGAGUUUGAUUUACACGCUUUUGAUUUACGUGGUGCUAUUCAAGUAUGUAACUCGCGCGUAAAACGCAAGGUGCCUGUACUUCCGAAAUGUAAUUUGCUAGUCACGAGACAUUAUCCACCCCACCAAUGUGUUUACGAACCUCUUUUCUCAGUGAAACAAAUAGCAUUCUACAAAAAAGAUCUCUUCACUGUUUACUAACCAACUGAGCUCGUGAACUGGGCAGUCACGGUGGUGCAGCGGUAGAGUUGCUGCCUUACAGCGAAUGCAGUGCUUAAGACCUGGGUUCGAUCUCAACUACGGGUGCUGUCUGUAUGGAGUUUGUAUGUUCUCCCCAUGACCUGCGUGGGUUUUCUCCGAGAUCCUCGGUUUCCUCCCACACUCCAAUGACGUACAGGUUUGUAGGGUAAUUGGCUUGGUAAAUGUAAAAAUUGUCCCUAGUGGGUGUAGGAUAGUGUUAAUGUGCGGGGAUCGCCUGCUGGCGCAGACCCGAUGGGCCAAAGGGCCUGUUUCCGUGCUGUAUCUCAAAAAAGAAACUGUAGAAGGGUCUUGACCCAAGACUUUACCUAUUCCUUCUCUCCAGAGAUGCUGCAUGACCCAUUGAGUUAUUCUAGCUUUUUGUGUCUACCUUCUGAGGACAUCACCAAAGAUAUUUGACCAUUAUUGGAGUCUUCCAUUGCAUUUUGCUCUCUCUCCGAACUUCUCUCUCCAAGAUUUCUUCCCUAUGCCUCUGAAUGCGUAAAGUUACAAAGGUGCUAAUUAUAGGAAGGAUGUCAACAAAAUAGAGAGAGUACAGAGGAGAUUUACUAGAAUGUUGCCUGGGUUUCAGCAACUAAGUUACAGAGAAAGGUUUGAACAAGUUAGGGCUUUAUUCUUUGGAGCGCAGAAGGUUAAGGGGGGACUUGAUAGAGGUUUUUAAAAUGAUGAGAGGGAUAGACAGAGUUGACGUGGAAAAGCUUUUCCCACUGAGAGUAGGGAAGAUUCAAACAAGAGGA